AUUGAACGCUGGCGGCAUGCCUUACACAUGCAAGUCGAACGGCAGCACGGGUGCUUGCACCUGGUGGCGAGUGGCGAACGGGUGAGUAAUACAUCGGAACAUGUCCUGUAGUGGGGGAUAGCCCGGCGAAAGCCGGAUUAAUACCGCAUACGAUCUACGGCUGAAAGCGGGGGACCUUCGGGCCUCGCGCGCUAGGGUUGGUCGAUGGCUGAUUAGCUAGUUGGUGGGGUAAAGGCCUACCAAGGCGACGAUCAGUAGCUGGUCUGAGAGGACGACCAGCCACACUGGGACUGAGACACGGCCCAGACUCCUACGGGAGGCAGCAGUGGGGAAUUUUGGACAAUGGGCGAAAGCCUGAUCCAGCAAUGCCGCGUGUGUGAAGAAGGCCUUCGGGUUGUAAAGCACUUUUGUCCGGAAAGAAAUCCUUGGCCCUAAUACGGUCGGGGGAUGACGGUACCGGAAGAAUAAGCACCGGCUAACUACGUG
rnacentral:rRNA from 1 species